rnacentral:rRNA from 1 species
ACGGGUGAGUAAUAUAUCGGAACGUGCCCAAUCGUGGGGGAUAACGUAGAGAAAUUUACGCUAAUACCGCAUACGAUCUAAGGAUGAAAGCGGGGGAUCGCAAGACCUCGCGCGAUUGGAGCGGCUGAUAUCAGAUUAGCUUGUUGGUGAGGUAAAAGCUCACCAAGGCGACGAUCUGUAGCUGGUUUGAGAGAACGACCAGCCACACUGGGACUGAGACACGGCCCAGACUCCUACGGGAGGCAGCAGUGGGGAAUUUUGGACAAUGGGCGAAAGCCUGAUCCAGCAAUGCCGCGUGCAGGAAGAAGGCCUUCGGGUUGUAAACUGCUUUUGUACGGAACGAAACGGUCUGCCCUAAUACGGCGGGCUAAUGACGGUACCGUAAGAAUAAGCACCGGCUAACUACGUGCCAGCAGCCGCGGUAAUACGUAGGGUGCGAGCGUUAAUCGGAAUUACUGGGCGUAAAGCGUGCGCAGCCGGUUAUGUAAGACAGUUGUGAAAUCCCCGGGCUCAACCUGGGAAUUGCAUCUGUGACUGCAUAGCUAGAGUACGGUAGAGGGGGAUGGAAUUCCGCGUGUAGCAGUGAAAUGC